rnacentral:lncRNA from 1 species
GGCAGCUACAGCUCCAAUUAGACCCCUAGCCUGGGAACAUCCAUAUGCCAGGAGUGUGGCCCUAAAAAGACAAAAAAAAAAAAAAAGAAUUUGAUUCUGCUUGUUAAAGUUUAUUGAAUUUAUACGUUUACUUUAAAAUUUGCUUAUGGGAACCAGUUUAGCAGAUAAGCAAGCUACACUGAGUAACCUGGUGACAGUUUUUCACCACCACUCCCUAUCAAGUCUGGGAAACAUAUAUUCCAGAAUCCUCUUCUUUGUAUGGUUCUGGACUUGACUUUGUUAAUGAGAGGAAAUUCUGUGAGAUUUGGAUGUGGAAGUGAAAUGGAACCUGUAUUUCUCAGAAGGGUCUGAUAACCAUAAAUAGCAGUUUUUUAGACUUUCCAUGAGCAAUCAACUUGCAGGCACGGUGGACACACAUUCAGGUUGAAGACAUCCCCCCAAGAGCUUGCACCAUAUUUUCCAUAAAGCCAAGUGGUCACAUCUCAUUCUGUCCCAUUUGAGUCUUGGCUUCGGCAGUCACUCCAGAGCAUUUUUCAGCUCCAGCCUUAUGGAAAUUCGUAGCAACUCUUUCAUAUUUGUGUAAACUCUAAUUUUUAUUUACACCCCUGAUUAUGCUAAUACUUACAGUGGCUCCAUGUUCCUUAAAAAACCAAAUUGAUAAAGGCUUUGAGCUAUGAACCUUAAGUUAAAAGCAAAGUAGUUUUUUGGAAGAAGUUGAAUGAGUCUUCAGAAGAGACUUAAAAAAAGAGACUCAGAGAGAGAGAAGACCAUUUGAAGAUGAUUACAGUGAUGCAGUGAUGCAAUGAUGCAGUUUCAAACCAAGGAGCGCUAAGGAUUGCUGAGAGCCAAAAGAAAAGAAGAAUUCUUCCCUAGAGCCUUCAAAGGGAGCUUGGCUCUGCUGAUACCUUGGUUUCAGGCUCCUAGCACCCAGAAUUGUGAGAGAAUAAAUUACUAUUGUUUUAGGCUAAUUUGUGGUCAUUUGUUACGGGCAUCCUAGGAAAUCAGUAUGACUAGUUUGAAACAAAGCUUAUGUUGAGAGUUUAGCUAAGCUACUCCAUGGUAUUGCUGCCUCGGCAUUCAUUUUGUUUGGCUAAGGGAGCUUCAGGGGCCCUAGACUGACACUAGCCCUCUAUGCAGAUUGAUACUCUAGAUAGCAGUCUCAGAGUUAUGAGCAAAUGUAAAUCCCUAAAAUGACUUCCCCAGUAGCCCUUGUGAUCCACAGUCUUCCCUGCCUCCCAGAACCUGGAUGCCUCAUGUAUUCUUAGAUAGGACCUCCAUGGGGGCUUGCUAAAACCCUGCUUUUUUAGUUUGCAUUGACCAAGCUGGCCCUAGCUUUGAGCCUCAAAGCAUUCUACCCAUGCACCCUAAUAAAAGUAUGUACUUCACCAAGUUCCUGUCUUUCUGUCUACACUCUGCCUUGACCUCCUCUUGUGGCCCUUUGAGGCAUGCUGUGUACUUCCUCCAGGACCUGUGUAUAAGAAACUUAGCCUAUUUCAAUUUUUUUUUGUGGUCUGUUGUUGAACCACAACUUACCAUCCAAUGCUCUGCGUUCUACUUAACUAAUGCUAAUUUAACAAAGUUGUAGAAGCUUGUUAAUAAUUUUCUUAUGCCAAUAUUUUCCUCUUCUAACAAAGUUGUAGCAGCUUGUUAAUAAGUUUCUUAUGCCAAUAUUUUCCUCUUCCUUUUCUUCUUCCAUCAUGCAGCAUAGAGUAUGUGAUAAAUAUAUGGUGGCAUGAAUCCUAGGAUGUUUAUAUUAUAAAAUUAAUUUGCUACAUUAUAUAAAACUAACGUUUAUCAUAUAUUCAUUGUGUAUUAUACAAAUGAUUUGGAAAAAGAAAAAAAAUCAUAUUUCACUGUACCAAUUUGUAAUAUACUGUGGAUCAAACCAAGCUCACUAAAACAGUCAUUGGUAAAAUGUAAUCUGGGGAUCACAUUCAGUCACCUGCCUGUUUUUGUAAAUAAAUUUGAUGGAACACAACCACACCUAUCCUUUUAUAUCCUCUAUUGCUGUUUCAUGUUACAAUGGCAAAGUUAAAUAGUGCAACAGAGACUAUAUAGCCCACAAAUCUGAAAUCAUUUACUCUCUGUCUCUUUAUAGAAAAAUAUGACCAACUUUUGCAGUAAGAUACAAUUACAUAUAAUGAAACAUCUCAUUAUACAUGGUCGACAUAUAACAUAUGUGCUAGUGUUUCACCAUUACUAAAAUCAAAAUGUGUCUCCAUCGUAGUUUUCUUUUUUUCAUUUUCAAGAUAUUGCAAAUUUGCCUUUGGAAUUGAUUUGUCAUUGUCCCACAAUCUUCAUCUAAUUACUGCAGUUCAGACAGUAGCUAUAGAUAAAUGUUUGUUGAAUACUUAUUCAGUUCAUUCAUUUAAUCCCAUUAAUUUAAUCAGAAAUUUGUCAGCUGUAAUAUAUGGUAGAAAUGUUAGUAUUAAUUAUAUACUGAUGUGUUAAUUAUAUGUUUGCAAUUUUACCAUUAACACCAGCAUGAGUAUAUUAAUCGCAAAGAUUCUUGAUGAAUCUGUUGACAGAAAUGUGAGGAGAGACACUGUAAGUCAAGAUAUGUUUUGCUGAUGCCAGGGAAAGUAAGGUCAAAGACACUAGCUUAAUUAUGAACAGGGAUUUGAGACCGAGGACUAUGGGGAAAGCAGGAAAAAGCACAUCUUUAGACAUCUGAGCUCUUUCCUUGGAAGAGAAAUAAAACAAGCCAUCACAUAUAGCAAGAUAUCCAAGGGAUGAAACUGAGAGGAAUUGAGGUGAAUAAGAAAAAUUUUCAAUAGAAGAAUGGGUGAAAUGAAGUUUAAAGUUCUAGGUAAAAAAAAUAGAGGCAGGCAUGGGUUAACUCUGAUUGUUCCAUGUUUCCAGUCUAGAACAAGCAGGAUGAACAUUAGAAUGACUUUGAUUUUUAUUGGGGUUUGUUUUUAAAUACAAAAGUAUUGAUUCUGAAUCUUUGGAUGUGGGAUUUGGUGUUUGUAUUUUAAGAGAAUACAAUCAUUUUGAUAAUCAUGCAGGUUUGAGAAUCACUAACUCAGUUAGGAAAGAGUUAAUAUUCUAUCACAAAUAUUUGGGAUUUGGCACCAAGCCUCUCUUGUCCUAUGUCUGACAUCCUCAUGGUGAUUCUAAUUCUGACAACUCUUGUUCUCUCCUGUUUUCUUUGGUUUGAGUUUCCUGUAUUAGUAAUCCAUUGAAUGUUUGGUUCAUAUGUAGAUCUUUGUUUGCUUUUAUCUUUUGUCUUUUCCCCUCAUGAACUUUGCCAUGUCUAGAUGCCAAUAUGGUAGCAUGGACAUUGUUGGCUGCAGAUAAACUUCUCUGACAGAGGUUGCUGGCAUAGGUUUCUGGGUAACUUCUGUUCUGGGGUUUCCCUUUUAUCAACUUACUCCUUUUCACUGUUAUUCUCAUUUGCCGUGCUCUUUAGGUUGUGUUUUUUACAAAUGGCUCAUUUUCCUAAGAAUCUCCACCCAAGUCCCUUGCAAAUGAAACUUAUAGAAUCUCCCAUGACAACUAUCAAAUCUUUCUCCUCCUUUUCUGUAACUAUUGAUCCCACAUUUGUUUUUUGUUUGUUUGUUUGUCUUUUCUAGGGCUGCAUCCAUGGCAUAUGGAGGUUCCCAGGCUAGGGCUCUAAUCGGAGCUGUAGCAGCUGGCCUACACCACAGCCACCACAACACCAGAUCCGAGCCACAUCUGCAACCUGCACCAUAGCUCACAGCAAUGCCAGAUCCUUAACCCAUUGAGCGAGGCCAGGGAUUGAACUCACAACCUCAUGGUUCCUAGUCGGAUUUGGUAACUACUGAGCCACGAAGGGAACUUCUGUUUGUUUUGUUUUUUAUUGCCACACCCAUGGCAUAUGGAAGUUUCCAGGCUAGGGAUUGAAUACGAGCCACAGCUGUGACCUGUACCACAGCUGCAGCAACACUGAAUUCUUGAACCUAUUAUGUCAGGUCAGGGAUCAAACCUGCACCUCCGCAGCAACCCAAGCUUCUGCAGUCAGAUUCUUAACCCUCCAUGCCACAGUGGGAACUCCCCACCAUUGUUAAUAUUCUAUGUGAAAUUCUAAUUUCAACUGGAAAACUAUUGAUUUUAUAAAUACCACUAAUUAAUGUAGCUCUAAGUGUAUAUAUUUUGAUAGAAGCAUAAACAUAGUAAUGAGAAAUUAUUCUUGCCAGGCAAUAGAAAAUGCUGUCACCUGGCUCUUCAGGAUUGACAACAAUAACAGUAAAAAUAACAGUAACAAAAGUUUAAUUGACCUAGAAAUUUUCAUACUAAGUGAAGUUAUUCAGGCAGAGAAAGACAAAUAUCAUAUGUGAUUACUAAUUUGUAGAAUCUAAUAAAAAUGAUACAAAAGAACUUACAAAACAGAAACAGACUCAAAGAUUUAGAAACCAAAUUUAUGGUUACCAAAGGGGAAAUAUGGAAGGGGAGGGAAAAAUUAGGGGAUUGGUAUUUACACAUACACACUGCAGUAUAUAAAAUAGAUAGGGGAGAGGCUUGUCGCUCAGUGGGUUAAGAACCUGACACAGUGUCCAUGAAGAUGUGGGUUCAAUCCCUGACCUCACUCAGUGGGUGAAGGAUCUGGCACUGCUGCAAGCUUUGGCACAGGUUGCAGACGCGGCUCAGAUCUGGUGUUGAUGUGGCUGUGGUGUAGGCUGGCAGCUACAGGUCUGAUUCUGCCCCUAGGCUGGGAACUUCCAUAUG